CCCGGCCAUCGAUCGGCAGUCGCGAGGUUCUUGUCGCCGAAGAGGGAGCGAGGGACGUUUCGAGGCGCUGGACCUUUAUUUUUGUUUUUCCAGGAUGUGUGGCGGAUUCACGUGCUCGAAAAACUCACUGCUGGCCCUUAACAUCUUGUAUGUUAUUGUGGCAUUCAUCCUAUUUGGGGUCGCGGCUGCUGCCAAUGCGGCCUCCAUUGUCACAUCACUGUCACUGGUUACUGGAAUUAUUGUCUGUGGUGUCUGCCUACUAAUCAUAUCCAUAGUGGGCCUCAUUGGAGCAAGUAAACAUCACCAGGUGUUGCUGUUCUUCUACAUGAUUGUUUUGUUCAUCAUCUUCAUCAUCCAGUUCUCUGUGGCCUGUGCAUCCCUUGCCAUUAACGAACAGCAGCAGCAGGCUUUCGCUAAGAAGGGUUGGGAAUACUCCAACAACAGCACUAAACACGAUGCACAGUCAUUCUUUGGCUGCUGCGGCUUCGAGAAAUACAGCAUAAAUAUGACUGCCGAGAUGGAUCACCCAACCUGCACCGAUAUUAAAAACAAAGAUGGCAAGUACUGCUGCGGAAACCCAGAUACAGCUGACGAUGCAACAUGCUGCCGCAGCGAGAACAGCACAAGCUGCAUGUGCGACCCCUGUGCAGAGCCAAUCCAGGAGUCGAUGGUCAAGGGCCAGAACCUGGUUGGCGGCAUUGGACUCUUCUUCUCCUUCACAGAGUUUCUUGGUGUGUGGCUCACGGUGCGAUACAGGAACCAGCGGGACCCUCGAGCUAACCCUUCGGCCUUCCUGUAGAGCGAUGGGGUCUGUUUUAGCCCCCACUCUCAUUCUCACUAACAUAUCAGAUCAUUGGCUUCCUCAUCGCCAAGCAGUAUCGGCACCAAGUGGACCCCAGAGCCAACAUCCAGUCUCUUCUGCGAUAAUUUCGUUAAAGUGUCUCGGAUAGUUUGGUUCUGGUAUUGAAAAAUGUGCGCAUUUAUGAAUAUAUAUAUACAUUUUAUAUAUAUCAUUAUGGUACAUUUCUUGGCACCCAUCCCCCGUCCCCCUAUUUUCCUCCAGUCAUACUCUCACCAUAAUUAUCACUCAAUUGACAUGGUUUUCAUGAUGUGACGUGUGGAAUUACGUGGCUCUCUGGAAUCCGGGAAGAGCAAUACUCGCAUCCCUCUGCCCUCCCUCCCCUCCCCACUUCCUAUGGUCCUCCUCCUCCUCCUAAAACGCUGUUUGAAAAGAGGAAAGUCCCGCUAGAAACUUUUUAAUUUUAAUAGUCGUUCUUUUAUUUGAUUGUGGUACGACACUUUUUGUCAGUUUUAUUUUAUUUAUUUAUUUUUUUUUAUUUUUUUAUUUUUUUCAUUUUUUUUUUUUUUUUUUUUUUUUUCUUUUUCUUUUGUCUUUUGUCUUAUCUAUGCACACCACGACCUCUAGUCCCUCAUGUAUAGAGCCCUCCGUGCAAGUUUGGGUGUGUUGCACUCAAACUUGGUCUUAAAUGUGUCAAUCAUUUUCUGGGAAUAGCAACUGCUAAAUUGGUAAUAGUUGUUGAUUUUUGUUAUUUUUUGUUUGCAUGUGGAAUGAUAGUGCUGUUGUUGUUUUUUUCCUUUUUCUUUUUCUUUUUUUUGUGUUUUUUGUUCUGGAUACAUUAUUUAUGAAUUUGAAUGUGGGUGAUGGUGUAUUAAUGUUAUUGAAUAUUUAGUAUAUUAUGGAAGACCUCCUUUAUUUUCAAUUGUCUUUUCAUUAUAUAUGGAAUCUUAAAUUUCCAUUUGCCAUAUCUUUUAUGUUCUUUAUUUGUGCAAUACUUUUAAAGAAACUGCAAUAUUCAUGUCUUUUCUUCAUUUGUUUUUAUUGCUGUUUCAAAAUUAAUUUCUCUCUGUCUUCCUUGUUUACUUAGUGAGAACUUGGAUGCUUACAUUUUCAUGAUUUGUAAUUAGCUAUCAUUGGCAUUUAAAUUAUUUAGACUGUACUUAACCUUCCAUUAAGUGCAAGUUCUUCUGUCAUGCUUUUUUUGAGGCCAAAAGCAAAGUAGUCUUGCUGAGUGAAGCUGCCAGAUUAUUACUGCGUUCAGACGUGGGACUUUUUCAAAUCUCACGACAUAAUGCUAUUUGGAAUAAUCUUAGCCUGAGUAUUGAGAAUAGAACAGAGAAAUUGUUUUGUAUAAAACAGUUCAAAUAAUUGUGUUCAAGCUAAAGCAAAAGAAAAGAAAGUCUAUUUUUUCUGUGAGAAUAUUAAUUCAUAAAAAAUAAGGUUGAAUAACAAUGAAUGGAUCAAAUGUAUGUGCCUGACUUGUAAAGAAACUCCAUAAUGUGGUGAACAAUCCAAUAGAUAACGUUACAUAUGAUGUAUAUUGAAUAGAUGUUACAUUGGCGUCUUCUUGGAUUCUUAGAAAUUAAAAAAUAUUAGGGAAAUUGAAAUCCUUAACAUCAAUACAGAUGUCUAUUCACUCUGCAUUUUAUGGACAGAACCGUUUUUUCCCCCCCCUUUACGCAGAAUUUGUGUUAGAUGACUGUGUUUAGAAUGUAAUAAUUGUACAUCCCCUUAUAGCCAUUAAGAAUAUUUCCCCAAGUCCUUGGGUAGUGUUCUUGAAGCACUGGUUCAACCUUGCCAGGAUGUGUCACUAGUGGCCAUACUUUUACAGCAGUACCGUAUAUUGUAUUCCAGUUACAGUGUUUCCGUAUAACACAUGAGCUUGUGGUUAGUUAGCAUGGCUCACUAUGUGUGAUGGAUCAUUAUUGUUGUUGUUAUGUAGUCCUUUCCUGUAUUCAGCCAAUAGACCACUUUUACAAGGCUAAACACAAAAAGAAAAGAGAAAGGAGACCUAAGACAUUCACAUUUCCAAAUGAAUUGAAAGUUUCUGAAAAGAAUUAAUUUCUUUGCAAUUUACAUGUGAUCAUAGUUAAUUGUUGGAACAUGACAAACAUUCCAUACUUUGGGUACUGUGUGUAUGAUAAAUUUAUUAUAACUGACAAUCAGCAGGUAAUGACAUCUCAAGUUACACUAAUGUCCUUUGAGGUGAUCUGUUGGUGUUCAAGAUAAUCAGUUGUAUCAUGUAGUGUAUAUUUGAAAUAUGUAUAUGAGGCUUCCCGAUGUAGUUAAGUGGAUUUACAGUUAUGACAUUAAUUGUUAAAUGUUUAUUAGCUUUUCCGUUCAUGGUGCUUCUCUUUCCGAAAUUUCGUUGUAAGGGUCUGUUGGGCUGUCAUCGAAACUCAUCGUCAAGGUCUCAUAUUAGUCUGCGAUGUCCAUUACUGAAUCUUUUGGGCAGAUCAUUCUGGUUGUCAUUUCUCGUAACGAAUCAUGCCCAUACAGAACAGUAUUAUACCAAUUGCUAUCACAUCCAAGAGAAUGUUAGUGUUCAAAGAAAGACUUUUGAAAGACUUUGAAUUAAUUUUUUUGAUGUCCUUGAUUAAUGGGAUAUUUGUGUAUAUGCCUCUAGUCAUUAUUCUUCACUUGUUUGGAGCCACAUGAACAAUUUAAUAAAGCCCAUAUUUGACCAA